rnacentral:rRNA from 1 species
AUGGCUCAGAGUGAACGCUGGCGGCAGGCCUAAUACAUGCAAGUCGAACGGCAGCACAGUGGAGCUUGCUCCAUGGGUGGCGAGUGGCGGACGGAUGAGGAAUACAUGGGAAUCUGCCCAGUCGUGGGGAUAACGUAUGGAAACGUACGCUAAUACCGCAUGCGCCCUUCGGGGAAAGUCGGGGACCGCAAGGCCUGACGCGAUUGGAUGAGCCCAUGUUCGAUUAGCUAGUUGGCGGGUAACGGCCCACCAAGGCGACGAUCAAUAGCUGGUCUGAGAGGAUGAUCAGCCACACUGGAACUGAGACACGGUCCAGACUCCUACGGGAGGCAGCAGUAGGGAAUAUUGGACAAUGGGCGCAAGCCUGAUCCAGCCAUGCCGCGUGAGUGAAGAAGGCCCUCGGGUUGUAAAGCUCUUUUGUUGGGGAAGAAAAGCAGUUGGUUAAUACCCGAUUGUUCUGACGGUACCCAAAGAAUAAGCACCGGCUAACUUCGUG